AACAAAAACAUGUCUUUUUGAUUAUAAUUUAAAGUCUAGCCUGCCCAAUGAUUAUUGAUUGAAUGGCCGCGGUAUUUUGACCGUGCUAAGGUAGCAUAAUAAUUAGUUUUUUAAUUGAGAACUGGUAUGAAUGGCUGGACAAAGAAAAUUCUGUCUCAAGCUUAAUUUAAUUAGAAUUUUAUUUUUAAGUAAAAAAGCUUAAAUAAUUUUAAAAGACGAGAAGACCCUAUAGAGUUUUAUAUUAUUUUUUAUAAAUGAUUUAAGGAAUUAUAUAUUUUAUAUAUUAAAUAGUAUUUUGUUGGGGUGACAAAAAAAUUAAAUGAACUUUUUUUAUAUUUUAUCAUUGAUUUAUGAUUAAGUGAUCCAUUUUUUAUGAUUAUAAGAUUAAAUUACCUUAGGGAUAACAGCGUAAUUUUUUUUGAGAGUUCAUAUCGAAAGAAAAGUU
rnacentral:rRNA from 1 species